rnacentral:lncRNA from 1 species
GCCACACAUGGGGCUGGACACUAAGCCUCGCAUUAUCUCCUCAGGCCACACGUUGGCUAGGAGUGUUGGGCACACAGCAGGAAUGGCUCACAGGAAGCUGGAGGAGUUUCUGUCUUUCUAAGGGUCAGAGGUGGCUGAGAUUUGGCAGUCAGGGAAAUGGGAAUUUCCUGUGUCCCUCCCCGGAGCUGAGACUGGCAGCAGGAACCCAGACGGAACUGCCAUAGAGAAGCAUUAGGUUGACUGGAAAACUUCCCUGGAGGAGCUACAAAAUACAGUUUGGAUCAACAGCCCUAUAGGAAUGGGAAAUUCAGAUGCAGACAGGUGCUGAAGACCAUGUGAAGGCACAGGGAGGAGGUGGCCAUCUGCAAGCCAAGGAGAGAAGCCUCAGAAGAAACCAACCCUGCCAACACCGUGACCUCAGACUCCAGCCCCCAGAACUAUUCCAUAGAAUGUUCCCUGUUUCUUCAUCUAUGACAUGGGGAUAAUGUGAGUAUACCUACAUCAGAGGGCUGCGAUGAAGACUAAAUAAGAAAUAUUAAUUGAGCAUCUAUUAUAUGUAGCCACUGUGAUGGGCACUGUGAUGCAACUGAACAGAUGGACAAAGGCCCUUCCUUCUUAGAGCUUUAAGUCUGCAUGGUAGAGGGAAAAUGAUCUGGUACCAAUGAAUUAAGAAGAUAAUUCCAGAUGGUGACAAAUAUCCCCCAGAGGUUACUGACAGACCAAAAUAUCCUGACAACCCCGGAAUGCCAGAAGGAGAGAAGGGGUUUGUAAAUCUGAGGACCUUGACUACUUUUGUAAGAAGGAAUUACUUGCUAAGUACUGUCUCAGAAAGAAACUCUCUUGGAGGUUACCUGGGGACAAGUGGAGGAAGCAAGCCAUAGCCUUUUUGGAAUUGUGAUAAUAUUCCAAGGCAAAUGUUCCCAGGGGCUGGGAUUUUACCUUCUGUCUGUCCUACAAUCAGGGUGUAAGAUGGAGGAAUGCACUUCCCAUCUCUGAGCCACGGUUUCUCAUCCAUAGAAUGGGGAGUUUGGAUUUCUAAGAUCCCCCAUCUCACGCUUUGAAUGCGAUCAGGCUGGGAAUUCAAAAGCAUCUGCUCACUGGGAAAGGGAGGCAGUCAGGGUGGGACAGGGCUUGUAUUGAAUAACGAGAAAGGAGCAUGGUGACUAUGACUUGAGUCAGUCCGGAAAUAAAAUAUAAGGGGGUCUGAUCUGAGGCAGAAGAGGACAGCAGAAAUUCUCCUAGGAGUGGCAGUCAAGCCAGGUCAGGCUCGGGUCAGGCUGCCUGGUUCAGAGAAUGGCAUCAAUGUGUGCAGAGAGGUUCUUAAGGCCAGACAGGUGUCAGGGCCCAAGCCAAGUGGACUGGAGGUCAGAAUAGGGCUUCAGUUCUAAAAAAGGUGCCUGGCUGAGUGCAAAGCAGGCCUGAGUCAUCCAGACCUCACAAUCAUGGCUGGAGUGGCCACAGACAGACCCACAAUGGGUGCAGGGGAUCCCAAGUUUAUGACACCAAGAGUCAUUCCAGGCUUACCUAUGUUUUCAGGGCAAAUACAGGACUGAGUCUAGGCUGGAGGGUUAGAGAAGCUGAAACAGACACCUUUAGAACUGAAGUGUGAUGUUUUCAUUAAUCUGAAUACAAACCAUAGCCAAUAUAUAUGGUGUGCUUUCUCUGUGUCACUCUAUUCUAAGUAUUUCACAUGUGUGAACUCCCUGGCAGGCUAGUAGUAUUAGAGCUUUUGCUUAUUAAUCUCUAUGGUAACAGGUCAUUAAAAAAAAUAAUUAAUUACUGUGUUACCAAGAUCAAAAUAUAGUAAUAUUCGCCUCUUCAGCUGUGACCACCACCAUAGAAAAGUCCAGGCAAAAAUACAGAGAUCAGAAGGGGCAAGUGGAACCCUAUGCAGGCUAAAGACUCUUAGGAAAUAUGGGCCCUUGAAAUGUCCCCAUCUAUGUGGGUUUCAUUGUCAGUCCUUCUUUCUUUGGCAGGGUCAAGGGCAUUUGACCUGUUGAUACACCUAUUGCUUUUCCAGCAAGCCCUACAUCUUUCUAGUAAGGAGUCAAUGCACCAAAGCUGGAGGCCACUGGAGGUGACUCCAGUCACCAUUUUUCAACUUCUCCUAGAAAUGUCUCUUUGGUUUCUUCAGGCUUUGACUUGGGUGACUAUGGAGAACGUGACAUGGGAAGUUAAAAAGCAACAAGAAGUCUUUUAAAAAGUUUGAAUUACAUUGAACAUAUGUCUGAAAUGUAAGAAGGGGUAAGCCCUCUUUCUUACCAUCCUUCCUGACCAUGACCCCUGGGAGUCAGAUAUCCCAGGCACAGCUUAGCUUUCUAACCCUGCUGUGUUGCCCUCCAUGAUCUCUCCGAAUUUCUCUCCCUUUCCUCCCUUUACACUAAAAAUGCUCUAGUUCUGGCCUUCCUCAUCUCGUUAAUAAUUAAGCUGGCUGACUUAACUCCCUGCCUUCUGGUUGCCCUCUUCAAUCUGUCCUUGUCUCUGUCAGCAGCAGCAUCGUCCUGCUCAAAACCACAAAGACCUCCUACUGUGGAAAGACAGGUAUUCAGAAUCCACAUCGCACGUCUAGAUCCCCUGUGAUGUGCCCUGAAACAACCUCCACUGUCUUAGCUUUUACUAACAUCUUCCAUAAUUUCCAGGCCCAGCAGGCCUGAUCUUGUGCUCAACUUCCCCAACUUAGUCUCCUCCUUCUGUCAGAAAUAGCCUUUCUCUAUCUCCACCUGAGAUUAAUGUAUCCUGGAGAGUCUAUCUCUCUUUUCAGUGUCCAUAUCAAGGGCCGGCUCCUCCAGAAAGCCUUUCUAUACCUUCAACCUCCAACCUCAUAUCUCAUCAUUAGAAAAGAUCACGUUCUCAUUAGAAGCCCAAACCUCAGUAUCACAUAAUAUGCCCAUCUAACAAACCUGCACAUGUACACCCUGAACCUAAAAAAAAAUAAAAUAAAACAAAAAAAGAAAAGAAAAUAUACACUGAUGAGAAAAAAAAGGAUCAAAUCCAACUUUAAGUUCCUGAGUCUAACUUUCUAACUUUAUUUUAGUGCCUCCCAGAAUUAUCUGUGUUUGUGUCCACAUUAACCAUUGGCUGGGAUCAUCAUAAGUGAAUCACCAUGUUCCCCAAACCAAAAACUGCCCUGGCACACAGGAAGCUUACGUUAGUGUCUUAGUAUGGCAUAUAUGUAUACACACACUGUACACAUGAACACAUAUCUAUGUGAUGUUUCCAAACAUAGAUAUGUGUUCAUAUCCAAAGACAGUUGUCUUUGAAAGUAAACACAAUAAACUCGGAUAAACUUCUGGAACAUGGGGAUAGGAGGGUGGGAUGAAAGAAAGCAUUUAGUAAAUUUACAUUUCUUUAUGUAUUUCUUGACUCUUAAAAUCAAUAUAUCAUAAUUUAAUAACAUAAUUUAUUAAAAUGAAAAAUAAAAUAAUUCAUGUUAAUUGUAGAAUACAUACAUCUGUAAAGAAGAAUGACAAACAGGAAUAAUUUCCAGAGACUCACAAUCUACAUACAUUCUAUUUAUGUGAUUAGAUCCAUGUUAUUCUUAUGUUUCCUUUUUGCCAGUUAGCAUUGUAUGGAGAGUACUUCUCCAUUUUCUAUCAUUGGGUGUAUGAAUUGUUAACCACUUUGGAAUACUGCAAAUAAUCAUAUAAUGAAUAUACAUAUACUUAAAUCUUUGUGUGCAUUUGUUAUUAUUUACUAGGUUAGAUUCUUAGAAAUAGAACCACUGACUUGAAGGGAAUAUUAUCAUUUAAGGUUUUAAUCCAUGUUGCCAAAAUGUUUGUAAGAAAGUAUCCAUCUCACAAUACCCACAUCAGAACCAGGUAUUACAAUUUUUAAAACCUCCCAAACAUUUUCUUUUUCUUUCUUUUUUUUCUUUUCUUUUUUUUUUGAGACAGAGUCUCACUCCGUUUCUCAGGCUGGAGUACAGUGGCAGUGACUGCAACCUACGCACCCCCCAGGUUCAAGCGAUUCUCCUGCCUCAACCUCACGAGUAGCUGGGAUUACAGGCACCUGCCACCAUGACCCGCUAAUUUUUUUGUGUUUUAACUAGAGACAGAGUUUCACCAUGUUGGCCGGGGUGGUCUUCAACUCCUGAUGUCAAGUGAUGCGCCCACUUCUGCCUCCCAAAAUGCUGGGAUUACAGGCUUGAGCCACAGCGCCCAGCCCUAACAUUUUUUUUUUUAUGGAUUCUCCCUUUGCUUUUAUAAUGAGGGCACCUCUACCCUGAGAUGAAUCAGAUGCAUUAUUGUUUUUUGUCAAUUCUUUUACUACUUCUUCUUUAAUAUUUGAAUUUUUGAUCAAUUUAAAUCAAAUUAGGUAAAUUUUAUGAGGUAAGGGAGGAGACAUUUGCCUUGUUAUAAUUCCUGUAUAUUUAACCAAUCAUCCAUGUCAUAUUUAUUUAAUAAUCCUUCCCCACACUUUAAAUAAUUUGUAGUCUUAUUUUUGUUCUGUGUUUGAAUUACCAUAGCUGUAUAGUAUGAUUUGACAUCUGAUAGGGUAGAUUUCACCUUUUUAAUUAUUUAUUUUAUAUUCUGGGGUCAUUCUCAGCAUUUAUUUUGUCUAAAUGAAACGUAAACAGGCUGUCAAGUUUUCAACACAGAUCCAAGUGGAAUUAAACAUUUUUUUUCUUACGAAUAUUUGGGGACUUCAUUCCUUUCUUCCUUUUUUUUCUCUUCCUCCUCCCCUCCCUCCUUCUCCUCCUUCUUAUUCUAUUCUUCUCUCUCUUUUUCAUUCUCUUCUCCUUCCUUCCCUUCCUUUCCUUCUCAACUUCAUCUUCUUCGUUUCUCCAUCAUUAUCAUUUUCUGUUUAUUGAUUACACUUAAAUAAUAACUAUUUCAUAGAGAAAAUUAAAACUAGACAUAGUGAUCAAAUGUUGACAUGUUGUUUUUUGUGUCAAAUAUUCAAAUAUUUUUAAAUUGACAUCUAAAAGUUUAUAGAAACAGGCACAUUCCUCCACCAGAAUUUCCCUCUACUCUCAAAAGUAACCACCAUUAUAAAAUGCUGCACUGUCAGCAAACCACCAUGGCACAUGUAUACCUAUGUAACAAACCUGCACGUUCUGCACAUGUAUCCCAAAACUUAAAGUAUAACAAUAAUAAUAAUGCUGCACUGUCUUUUUUGUGUUGUUUUGUGCAUUUUUAACCUCUAAUUUCACAGCAUACUUAUUUGUCCAUAACUAUAUAUAUAGUGUUUUGCAUAUUUAAAACUUUUGUACAAAAUGUGUCAGAGUGAACAUGUUCUUUUGCAAUUUCAUUUAUUUUGGUCAACAAUAUGUGACUUUUCUUCAUGAACAUCCUGCAUAUUCCUUGUUUCAUUUAUCCUUGGUUAUUUAGAACAUUUCUUCUAUUUUAAUGCUAACUUCAAUUGACUCAAAUUUUGUUGACGGCUUGUGAGAUCAACCAAAAGCUAAAUGAAAUCAGUCUUCUGUGUGUGUGUUUGUUUUUAAUGCUUUCUAGAUUAGUCUGACAUGCACACCCAAUCGGAAAACACUAGCGCAGAAGAGGGAGAGCCUAAUAUCAGCAUUACCUAGGUAUUAGAAGAAUUUGGAUAUUAUUAUAUACACCUGGCAUGAUAGCUAGGACAGAACCUGUUCUGCCGGGAGAAGGCGCCUGCUCAGGGUUUCUCUUUCCCUACAUGGGAACCCCUGAAGGAGAGUCCUGCCUGUGAUCUUCAUUUAGAAGGCUAGUGCUGACCACUGCUUGGUUCUCAUCAAUCCAUCCUUGAGAUAUCCCCAAUCUCAUCUUAAAUCUGAAUUGAACCUGUCAUAUUAUAGCCUGGCUCUUCUCUCACCAACUAUUUGGGGAACCCAGCCAACAUACUGUGAUGAAGCCUAAACAACUGUGGAGAGGCUCACGUGGAGAGGAGUCAAUGCCCACUGAUCUAUAAGCCUUGGCUGAGCUCUGAGCCAACAGUCAUGAUCAACUUCCAGCCGUAUAAGUGAACCAUCUUGAAAGAGGCUUCACCAGCACCAAGUUGAGCAACUUGAUUAUGUUACCAAAGAUCACCUCCUUCCUAUCAUCUUCCGUCUGAGACUUGCUUAGAGUGAGUUUGGAAGCUGUGUUUUGCUCAUCCUGAAGACUGAACAUAAGAAAAUAUUGCUCAAGUUCUGGAUGAUGCAGCUGCUGAAAUAAUCUGUGGUGCACUUUCCUUCAGGAAUCCUUACCUAUUUUUUCAGGUGUUCCACAAGCCUUCUUAUCUUGGAAUUCAGUAAUACUUAUUGUGUGGUUGCUUACUGUUCCCUAGGCACCCUGAAGCAUUGAAGCUUUGAAGCUUUGUCUCAUGCUUUCAAGUAAUGUUCUCGUGUUUACCUGCUGAUAUUCCUUCAAAGUUAGAGGCUGCCUCUCUCCAAGUGUGGAAAAAAACAAUCAGAUGUCACUAAGAUAUUGUGUAACAAUUCAUAUUAAACACAUGAUCUUGUCAGUCAAGAAGAAGAGAUUAAAACAAACACCUUGAGAGUUCAUGAGUAGAAGUAUACAGCCCUGCAUUCAUGAUAAUAUGGUGCAUUUUACCUACCUUGCAGCAGAAAGAGAUAUCUAAUUCCAUACACAGCAAUGUAACUGUUUAAAGUGCUCCUAAAAUUCAGACAAAACAAAUUAUAAAUAGUAUCAAGAUCAAAGAAGCUGAAAGUCCCUAUGUUUGAUGUAGGCACAGCAAAGUUUGAUGUAUAUGCUCAUUUCUCAGCACUGCAAGUAUGGAGAAACCAUCAGAAAGCAUGCUGAAAAUAGAGAGGGCUUCUAAAACAGAAAGCUCCUGCCUGUUUUACUGAAGGCUACCAGAUUCUUUCUCAGAAAUUUUGUACAGUUCAGAGGCACAAAUGCUCUUUUAGGUCCUUUGAAGCACUGGGUUUAAUAUCGGAAUUUAAUCUUGGCUCUAGUCUCCAAUUCCUUACAUAGUCAUUCAAGCAAUCUUGGGGACCAAGUCUUCCAAUAGCAUAGUGAUAUUCAUGCCUGAAGUGGGAGGAAUAGAUAUCCUCCUCAUUAACAAGGGAUGAGAGAUCAUGUUUCAUAGGCAAAAUACUCAUGCAUGCAAAAAUGUAACUUUUCCAGUAAUUUUUUUAGUACUGAAAUUAGCUUAGCUCAUUAGCUCUCUCUUCUACCUAGUAGCAGGGAAUGCAGUUUUGCUAACCCAGGUGACUCAUUAUUUCUGUUUUCAAGUUUAGUUUAUUUUAGGUAAAUUUUUGAAUUCAUAAUGUUUUUCUGACCUUUCUUCUCUUCCAGAAGAGGUUAUUCUAACUUCUUAAUGGAUUUACUUUUGUAGUUGUUACUGUUAUAUAUAUAUAAUAG